UUUUAUUUUAUUUUUUUUCAGAGUGGAAAGUAGAAGUUUAUUAAAGGACAGCAGAAAAGAUUUCUCCCGGAGGAAGAAGGGGACCUAAGAGAUGGAAUCCGUGGAAGUGCCACUUCUUAAUUUUUAAAUGGGAAACAUUGUAAUGCUUGUUAACUUCAAACUUAGUCAACUUUCUGAGGUGUUACCAAAAAAGAAAUUAACCAUGUACAUAUAACAUAUUUGAAUGUAAGUGCUUAAAAUAGCUCUCUGAUUAUCAAACAAUAUAGUUUUAAUGAUCAGUAGCUUUUUAUGCAGCAUUUUCUUUUGGCAGUGCUGGGAUUGAACUGAGGGUCUGUGCAUGCAAAGCAAGCAUUCCAUUACUGAGCUACACCCCCAGUCCUAGAAGAAUAUUAUCUUCCAUAUUGAGUUUAUUUUUUGUUUCCUUCUCCACAAUUUUCUUAAAUAUAUUAUCAACUGGUAUGGGACUUGAAACAUACUAAGCAAAUAUAAACUACACAUGAAAGAUUAAAUGUGGAGAAAAUUCUUUACAUUCAACAUUAACUGCAAUACCAAGAUGCCAAUCUGGCUUUUGAUACUUAAGACACUUUUAAAAUAAAUGUCCAUAUGGAUUCUAGUAUUCUACUAUUUUUAUUUGGAACAUAUGAUCUUCCUUAAGUAACAUUGGUAAAAUGUUGUUUUGAGUUUGGGGGACAUAUUUUUUACCAAUAUUAAACAAUUUAGAAAGUGUAUGGAGGGACAGAUCUGAACCUUAGGAAUUGAAACUCAAGAAUCAUCAGGGAAAUGCAAAUCAAAAACCUUACAUCCAUUACAGUGGCUGUUAUCAAGGAAAAAUAUUUUGGAAUGGAGAAAUUGGAACUUUCACACACUGUUGACAGGAAUGCAAAAUAAUGCAGCCUCUAUGGAGAUCAGAAGUUGUUUAAUGGGUACAGAGGUUCAGUUUUUCAGGAUGCAAAAGUUUUGGAAAUUGGUUGUAUAACAAUGUGAAUGUACUCAUACACUACUGACCCAUAAACUUAAAAUGGGUAAGAUAGUAAAUUUUUAAAUGUGUAUCGUAAAAUACACUCCCCUCUCCUGCUACACACACACACACACAAAUCAAGUGUUGUGGGGGGGGGGUGGCCCAGUGGUAGAACAUGUGCUUAUGUGUUCACUGGGUUCAAUCUCCAGCACUGAAGUCAGGAAGUAGUCUGCCAGGAAGACUUUAACCAGGGAUGUGUCCUGUGGGAUGUGCCUGUACUUCCUUUGCACUCCUGUAGUAAAAUGCAGUUCAGCCAAGGAUGGUACAAUGAUAUGCUAGGUUGCAAUCUUGUCAGGAAUAUGCAGUUUACAUUGUUUAAUUAUUACAUUUCAUAGGAGAUGGGAAAUGAUAUGUCCCUCUCACUUCCCCAUGUUAAAUGUACCAACUACAUAAAUCAAUGGAAUAAUUUUUAC
rnacentral:lncRNA from 1 species